GUGGGAGCGGGCUUGCUCGCGAAUGCGGCGUGUCAGAUACACAUUCAGUGACUGACACACUGCAUUCGCGAGCAAGCCCGCUCCCAC
rnacentral:misc_RNA from 1 species